rnacentral:rRNA from 1 species
CACGUAGGGUGCGAGCGUUGUCCGGAAUUAUUGGGCGUAAAGCGCGCGUAGGCGGACCUGCAAGUCGGGGGUGAAAGCCCGAGGCUCAACCUCGGAACUGCCUUCGAUACUGCGGGUCUCGAGUCCGGGAGAGGUGAGUGGAAUUCCUAGUGUAGAGGUGAAAUUCGUAGAUAUUAGGAAGAACACCAGUGGCGAAGGCGGCUCACUGGCCCGGUACUGACGCUGAGGCGCGAAAGCGUGGGGAGCAAACAGG